rnacentral:rRNA from 1 species
GACGAACGCUGGCGGCGUGCCUAAUACAUGCAAGUUGAGCGAUGAAGCUUGGUGCUUGCACCAAUUUGAAGAGCAGCGAACGGGUGAGUAACGCGUGGGGAAUCUGCCUUUGAGCGGGGGACAACAUUUGGAAACGAAUGCUAAUACCGCAUAACAACUUUAAACAUAAGUUUUAAGUUUGAAAGAUGCAAUUGCAUCACUCAAAGAUGAUCCCGCGUUGUAUUAGCUAGUUGGUGAGGUAAAGGCUCACCAAGGCGAUGAUACAUAGCCGACCCGAGAGGGUGAUCGGCCACAUUGGGACUGAGACACGGCCCAAACUCCUACGGGAGGCAGCAGUAGGGAAUCUUCGUCAAUGGACGAAAGUCUGACCGAGCAACGCCGCGGGAGUGAAGAAGGUUUUCGGAUCGUAAAACUCUGUUGGUAGAGAAGAACGUUGGUGAGAGUGGAAAGCUCAUCAAGUGACGGUAACUACCCAGAAAGGGACGGCUAACUACGUG